UACGAAGGGGGCUAGCGUUGCUCGGAAUCACUGGGCGUAAAGGGCGCGUAGGCGGCCGAUCAAGUCAGAGGUGAAAGCCCAGGGCUCAACCCCUGGAAUUGCCUUUGAUACUGUUCGGCUAGAGACCGGAAGAGGUUAGUGGAACUGCGAGUGUAGAGGUGAAAUUCGUAGAUAUUCGCAAGAACACCAGUGGCGAAGGCGGCUAACUGGUCCGGUUCUGACGCUGAGGCGCGAAAGCGUGGGGAGCAAACAGG
rnacentral:rRNA from 1 species